UAAAAGAGAGAAACUUGUGUCUGGAGCAGAAAGAAGCUGUUUCUAAAGUUUUCACCUUUUAAACAUGAACCGAGAAAACUGAGCGUGUUUUAAAUUCUCAUGUCAAAGACUUGAUCACUUGUUUUGUCCUAAACGAGCUAAAGUACGUCCAGUUGACUUUGACUUGAAACAUCUGGAUAUUUAUCUUCAGGCUGGGAAACAAAACUGUGACAAUAAUGAUCAGCUUUUAAUUUUCAUCAAUAUCAAAGUAACAAGUUCAAUACAUGUUGAUUUAAUAGAUUUGUAUUGUGUGAACUCAGUGAGGAGAAAUAACACAGGAUCCAUUCAAUUCAUUCAAUUGACUAAGUCAACUCAUCUGUAGGCUGCUCCACUUUCCACCUCCGGUUGUACAACCAAAGUAAAACUCUGAAUAGAUGAUUCUAUUUCAAGAAAUCUGUAUGAACUCGAGAGCAGAACCUUUGUUAUAUUGCUAGUGACGACAAUUAAAGGUUCAGUGUGUAAGAUUCAGCUGAAAGGAUCUAUUAGAAUUUUUUUUUACAGUAGCCCAGACUGGACAAACUAAACAUCUUUUGAGUUUCUAGGACAACUGAAGCUGAAGUUUGGAAGUGGAGGCUGCAAUAUGCAACUUCACCACUAGAUGUCACUAAAGUCUACACAUUGCAUUGAUAGUGUUUUAUCACCCAGCCCUACCAAACCCAUAAUAUAUAUAAUUUACCAUCAUAAAUACCAAUAUAUCUAUAGAUAUAGAUAAUAAUGAUCAUAAUAAACAUCACAGUUGACAAACUGAAGCAACAAUUGUCUCCCUGACUUUCUGGUUUAUUGUUUCUUCUGUUUCCAUCAACAGAGCAAAUCAUUGAGACAGUUUUAUAUUAGUUCUUCUUUAUGAGCAGAGAACGACAAACACAAAUCUGAUGCAGAUCAAUGAUGUGAUAUUCGUCCUCACUGUGUUUGAACAAUGCAUAUACAUUAUGUUGAUUUGUGUUUGCUUGUAAAAGUAAAAUUCAACUGUAACAUUUGGAUUUGAAUUAUAUUCUAAUUGUAUGAUUCUAAUUGUAUGUGAGAUUGUUAGAUUAUCUGAAGCAUGAAAAGUCAGUUAAUAAUAAUCUCAAAUCAAUGGUUUGUUAUUUUAGGCAGCAGUUACAGAGAGGAGACCCCCCCCCCCCACGGAGCCACCAGGAGCCGGAGCUGCUGCCGGGGCCACCAUGAGCCAGAGAUGGAGGUAGAGGGAGCCAGAGCCGCUGGAGCCGCCGGAGCCCAUGGACCCAUCAUUUGGUGACUACUGCUUAAAAUAUCAACACAUUUAUUGGAUCUUCUGCGUGUUUGACGUGUCGCCGCAGCUUUUUCAUUGUUAACAUGUUAAUAGUGGAAACUGCUGUGACUCAUCAAACAAUCAGAAGAUCUAAUCAAUGGGUUGCUAUUUCAGGUGGUAGUUACCGAGAGGAGACCCCACAAACCUUUUUUCUGUGUAUGCGGUUUACAGAUAAUAAUAUUAAAUAAAUGUUUCAGUAAAAUUCA